GGAUGUGGGGGCAAUCUGACUGCAACAUCAGUCACCCCACUGAUCGCCAGGGUUGAUUCAGCUGAUCUUGCUGGGUAGACAGGUGACCCCUUCCUCCCUCACUGCUCCUGCGCGCCCCUCCUGAAGCCGCACGCUCAGCUGAAGAGGCUGAGCACCCUGAUAGGCAGGACCAUCUCCUUGGCCAACAGUGCAUGAGUAGCUGCACUCCCCUGCUAGUACCUCUAAACGAGCUCUCAAAACUCCCAAGGGCUAAGAAAACUAAGAUGUAUACCAUACAGUGAUGUUAUGAGGAACAGAAUUAAUGUACAU
rnacentral:snRNA from 1 species